rnacentral:lncRNA from 1 species
GUUUGUCUCGAUGGUGGAUUUAUGUGGGUCGGGGUGGGCCUGUCCGACAUGGCGGAUGCGCUCGGGCCUCUCCAAAUCCGCCCUAGAUUUGGGCUGGGUUUGAGGAGCCGGACAGCUCGGAUGUUUGGAGCCCGGUUUGAGGAGUCAUGCUAGGUCGGGUUAUUUUUAUCAGUCACUGUCCGGGGCUUCCACCCGGACGUAUAAGGUGGAUUUGGAGCGCUCGGUUGUCGACGCUCUUAGAUAUGCCACUGCUAGCUGCCGGUUUGACAUUGUCAUUUUUUUUUUGCGGAAGUUGACAUCGUCACUUGUUCCGUAUAUUCAGGCCAAAGGCCCUGUCAAACUCAAAUUGUAGAAGCAAUUAACAGACAAUACUAGCCGUAUAGAAGAAAAAAACA